GACGAACGCUGGCGGCGUGCCUAAUACAUGCAAGUAGAACGCACAGUUUAUACCGUAGCUUGCUACACCAUAGACUGUGAGUUGCGAACGGGUGAGUAACGCGUAGGUAACCUGCCUGGUAGCGGGGGAUAACUAUUGGAAACGAUAGCUAAUACCGCAUAAUAUUGAUUAUUGCAUGAUAAUUAAUUGAAAGGUGCAAUUGCACCACUACCAGAUGGACCUGCGUUGUAUUAGCUAGUAGGUGAGGUAACGGCUCACCUAGGCGACGAUACAUAGCCGACCUGAGAGGGUGAUCGGCCACACUGGGACUGAGACACGGCCCAGACUCCUACGGGAGGCAGCAGUAGGGAAUCUUCGGCAAUGGACGAAAGUCUGACCGAGCAACGCCGCGUGAGUGAAGAAGGGUUUCGGAUCGUAAAGCUCUGUUGUAAGAGAAGAACGGGUGUGAGAGUGGAAAGUUCACACUGUGACGGUAUCUGACCAGAAAGGGACGGCUAACUACGUG
rnacentral:rRNA from 1 species